GCACGAGAGAUUGGUCAGGCCAGGUGUGCUGUUUGGAUAGCCUGCAAAGAAGCUGGCCGCCCCACCCUAAUCUUUUACUAUGUAUAUAAGUUCUCUACCUGGCUGGCACCACGUUGCCUACUCCCUGACUGCACACGUGGUGACGAAGAAAAGCAAAGAAAACGGAAGAUGGCGCCUCCAUGUUGAACAUGCCUGGCUCCCAGAACGAAUGUUCCACUAUAGCCACCACAGCUGUGAAUGUAAUGGGUCACAUCUGAAACCAGCACAUCUCUGAGUCUUACCCAAGGCCCAUGAUCUUAGUGGCAGACAAAGGAUUUGACUUUGGAGAGGAUGGUGUGGAGAACUGAAAUUCCGCUAAGAACACCUUAGGAUUCCCUAUAGGAGAGAAGAAACAGUGACCUAGGACGGCAAUGAAACACAUUGAUCCUACCUUUGGAAUAUGGAUAGAAGAAGAAAAGUGGAUCAAAAGUGGAUUUUAGUUGUAAAUUCAGCCAUGACAGAAAUACCAUGAAUCCACUGAAUGCAUCCUUCAUCUAUAUCAAUAACACAUACAGUGUGAGCUGUCAAAUUAUGGCCAGAAGUGUGUAUAUGAAUACAAAAGUUAAUUUUUAAGUGACUAGCCUUAAGAGUUUUAGUCCGAGAAUGUGCAUAAUUAAAAACAAUGAGUAUUUUUAUCAGAAUAAUCUGAAAAAAAUUCUUAGAAUCAUUAUGAUAAAACCAGUCUCAUUUGUUUAAUGUCCUACAGCAUCACAAAUUGUCAUAUAACAUCAUAAUAAGGUUAACAAAAAAUAAAAUAUCAUUAAAGAAACAAUGUUGUCUUAUAACUAUUUAUCCUAUCCAUAUCAUAGUCAUGAAGCUAAAAUAUAGAGAUAAGCCAGUAAUAGCUAUCGAAUUUCAACCUGGCUAUUUUGACAGCUUGUGUACCCAAUCUAAAAUUAUGGUAAGUUAAGUAGCAUUUUCAACAUUUCUACAAAGUAUAAUGAAAAUUAUAGAUAUUUUUUCUUUCUCACCCAUAUUUGGAAAGAAAUUUAGGAGAUCCUUUAAAACCAUUAGGCUUUCUAAGACAGAAAAAAUAUAAUUGCACAGGAAUGAAGAUAACACAGGUAGCAAUUCAUUGCGUAUCCAUUCUUUAUGGUGGCUUCUUUCCCCAAGCUCAGGAAACUGCUGUUUAUAUAAAUUUGGAUUAAACAGAAGAGUCAUUCAGUUGUACAACUCUGUAGUUUUGCCAGAAGAUGAUGGAGUGGAAAACUGAAAUUCUCAUAAGAGUGCCAAAGGAAUCCCCACGGAACAAACUGAAGCUGUUCUAGUGUGCAUUUUGCAUUUGGACAUAUGUGAGAAGCCCAGAUUGUCCCAAAGGACAUUACAAACUUCUGGAAACAUAAACAUCAUUUCAUUGUGGACAAUUCUAGUUUUAACAAUUGAAAUAAUAUUUUAUGCACUAUUAACCACCACAGAUGACACUUCUGUCAUGUUUGUACAAACUUUAGUUUACAUAUGAAAAUUACUCAGUGCUUUGAUUAGUAUAAUCUUGUCUGAGGUAAUCAAAACAUAAUAUUAAUAAGGCCAAAGUUUCUGAUUCCCUUCAGAAGCCAAACCUAAAUACAAUUGUCUUCCCCAUGAAAAUUGCAGCUCAAAUUUUAGACACAUACUUAGUUCUCCCAUUUUAUGAUAAAAUAUGAUGGGAAAUCUUAUUAAAGGCCAAGGGAUGAGCCAAUGAAAAACAAAGACAAGGACUGCAGUGGGAGGUGCCCUAGAACUUUGCUUCUCAAAUUAUAAUAGCUAAGACCUCUCUAAAUGCAGAUUCUAUUUUAAUAAUUCUGGUGUGAGUUUUCCAGGAGCCUUUAUUUCCAAAAAAAAGUAAUGUCCAUGGACAUUUGCCAUCCAACAGGCCUUCAUCAUGGGAGGACCUGGAUUAUCAGAGAACCUUGAUCAUUGGAGAAACAAUAAAUAGCAAAUGUGGUGGGUAUGCAAAGAGAGAAGCAGGGGACGACCAGAUUUGUUCAGGGAGUCCAGCAUGAGUAGGUUUUUGAGGGAUCUUUGGGGGUAGCUCAGGGCUUUGUUCUUUACCCCAACUUACAGAAAAAUCAUUGAUGGAUUUUUG
rnacentral:lncRNA from 1 species